ACUUGUCUCUUUACUCUUCUGUGUGGCCAUGGGAGCAGAGCAAGAACUCUCAGAUCUCGUUUGGUUUUGAUAAUUUUCCUGGUUCGAAGGUGAAGAAGCUGCGAACAGGCGAAACCUAGCACAGACUGUGAUCAGAAUUUCUGUGUCUUUCCAUGUCGCCGACGCCGGGGAAUAUAAUCGAGAGAAGUGUUAUAUGUUGACAAAAGGAUAGUUACCUUAUGGUCUCACCCCUUGAAACAUUGGAGCGAUAUUCUGAAGAUGGGUAACUACAGUAAAUACAAAUUCUAACAUGGCUUCCCAAUUCUUUAACCACGCCAGGAAGAAGAAAUUAGCAUCCGGGCGGGAUGGAUCUCUACCUGUAGCUGAAUUUAUUUGAAUGAUAAUUGUAUACUUUAUUUGUAUGGUUCUCUGAUGAGCCACUUCUUCAAAUGAGUGAGAGACUGGGUGUAUUGGGGUUUAGGUCUUAGAGUUUUGAGAGAAGCCAAUCUUUAUUUGUACCACAUCAUAUUCCGUUCACAGUAAGAUUUGUCUCUUUGUUCUA